rnacentral:rRNA from 1 species
CGUGAGAUGUUGGGUUAAGUCCCGCAACGAGCGCAACCCCUAUUGUUAGUUGCUACGCAAGAGCACUCUAGCGAGACUGCCGUUGACAAAACGGAGGAAGGUGGGGACGACGUCAAAUCAUCAUGCCCCUUAUAUCCUGGGCUACACACGUAAUACAAUGGCGGUCAACAGAGGGAAGCAAAGCCGCGAGGCAGAGCAAAACCCCCAAAAGCCGUCCCAGUUCGGAUUGUAGGCUGCAACUCGCCUGCA